CACAGAAAGCGGGGACCAUUUUGGAUUUUUGCAGAGGGAACACUCAGACCCUCACUGAGAAAGAUUUCUUCUAGUUUUAUUUUGCCAGCUUCAAGCUAUUUACUGGCAGUUGGUUAUUAUUUCUACAUUCCAGAAAUCAAGUGUGGCUCCUAUUUCAUGGAAAGACAGAUCCACGUCCGGUUCCAUGUCAUUCAUUCUGAAGGGGGCGCUGUAUUCACGCUAUUUAUUCUGAGUGAACUACUACGUGAUCGUGAUCUACUUUGUGACCCCAAUCUGAGUGAGGGGGAGGUGAUACGAGCGUUCCAUUCUGGGUAACAUGGAUUCGUAGACAGUCCAUCGAUGACGAUUAAGUGAUCAACCAUAACAACGAUCAACGUUUGUUCGAUGUCAGUAAGUCUUUUCGACUGGUAAGCGGAUUCGUUUCCAAGGACAUCUAUAUGCGCUACAUUUUUUGUUUACUCACUACUGAACUUAACUCGACGAGCAUUGCUCUGAUUCCGAAAUCGCAUAUGCCAAAGACAAUGAUUGAAC